rnacentral:misc_RNA from 1 species
CCAUCUGUAAAAUGGUAAUUUCUAAUGCACAAAUUACACGCAACUCUAAACCUGCAAAAUUAUAUUACUUUCAAAAUUAAAAACUUGGCGAUCUGCAUCAUCUCUUCACACUUUCUGUUUCUCCAUUGCUCUCACAUCCUCAAUUACUCUUUGUUUCUGUUGUAACCAGCUCUUAAUGAGAUUUCCAUUGGCGGGUUGGAG